rnacentral:rRNA from 1 species
AUUGAACGCUGGCGGCAGGCCUAACACAUGCAAGUCGAGCGGAUGAAGGGAGCUUGCUCCUGGAUUCAGCGGCGGACGGGUGAGUAAUGCCUAGGAAUCUGCCUGGUAGCGGGGGAUAACGUCCGGAAACGGGCGCUAAUACCGCAUACGUCCUGAGGGAGAAAGUGGGGGAUCUUCGGACCUCACGCUAUCAGAUGAGCCUAGGUCGGAUUAGCUAGUUGGUGGGGUAAAGGCCUACCAAGGCGACGAUCCGUAACUGGUCUGAGAGGAUGAUCAGUCACACUGGAACUGAGACACGGUCCAGACUCCUACGGGAGGCAGCAGUGGGGAAUAUUGGACAAUGCGCGAAAGCCUGAUCCAGCCAUGCCGCGUGUGUGAAGAAGGUCUUCGGAUUGUAAAGCACUUUAAGUUGGGAGGAAGGGCAGUAAGUUAAUACCUUGCUGUUUUGACGUUACCAACAGAAUAAGCACCGGCUAACUUCGUG